UUAAAAGACCUAGCAAUAGGUAUGCUUAGGGAAGAGCUUGCGUCACAUUAGUUAGUUGGUGGGGUAAUGGCCUACCAAGACGAUGAUGUGUAGCCGGGCUGAGAGGUCGAACGGCCACAUUGGGACUGAGACACGGCCCAAACYCCUACGGGAGGCAGCAGUAAGGAAUUUUCGGCAAUGGAGGAAACUCUGACCGAGCAAUGCCGCGUGAACGAUGAAGUAUUUUGGUACGUAAAGUUCUUUUAUUAGGGAAGAAAAGAUGGUGGAAAAACCAUUAUGACGGUACCUAAUGAAUAAGCCCCGGCUAACUAUGUGCCAGCAGCCGCGGUAAUACAUAGGGGGCAAGCGUUAUCCGGAAUUAUUGGGCGUAAAGGGUGCGUAGGCGGUUAAAUAAGUUUAUGGUCUAAGUGCACCGCUCAACGUUGUGAUGCUAUAAAAACUGUUUAGCUAGAGUUGGAUAGAGGCAAGUGGAAUUCCGUGUGUAGUGGUAAAAUGCGUAAAUAUACGGAGGAACACCAGAAGCGAAGGCGGCUUGCUGGGUCUUAACUGACGCUGAGGCACGAAAGCGUGGGGAGCAAACAGGAUUAGAUACCCUGGUAGUCCACGCCCUAAACGAUGAGUACUAAACGUUGGAUAAAACCAGUGUUGAAGUUAACACAUUAAGUACUCCGCCUGAGUAGUACGUACGCAAGUAUGAAACUUAAAGGAAUUGACGGGACUCCGCACAAGCGGUGGAUCAUGUUGUUUAAUUCGAAGGUACCCGAAAAACCUCACCAGGUCUUGACAUGCUUUUGCAAAGCUGUAGAAAUACAGUGGAGGUUAUCAGAAGCACAGGUGGUGCAUGGUUGUCGUCAGCUCGUGUCGUGAGAUGUUGGGUUAAGUCCCGCAACGAGCGCAACCCUUGUUGUUAAUUGCCAUCAUUAAGUUGGGGACUUUAGCAAGACUGCCAAUGAUAAAUUGGAGGAAGGUGGGGACGACGUCAAAUCAUCAUGCCCCUUAUGACCUGGGCUACAAACGUGAUACAAUGGCUGUUACAAAGGGUAGCUAAAGCGUAAGCUUCUGGCGAAUCUCAAAAAAACAGUCUCAGUUCGGAUUG
rnacentral:rRNA from 1 species